AUAAUGGGUCAGCGACUUAUAUUCUGUAGCAAGGUUAACCGAAUAGGGGAGCCGAAGGGAAACCGAGUCUUAACUGGGCGUUAAGUUGCAGGGUAUAGACCCGAAACCCGGUGAUCUAGCCAUGGGCAGGUUGAAGGUUGGGUAACACUAACUGGAGGACCGAACCGACUAAUGUUGAAAAAUUAGCGGAUGACUUGUGGCUGGGGGUGAAAGGCCAAUCAAACCGGGAGAUAGCUGGUUCUCCCCGAAAGCUAUUUAGGUAGCGCCUCGUGAAUUCAUCUCCGGGGGUAGAGCACUGUUUCGGCAAGGGGGUCAUCCCGACUUACCAACCCGAUGCAAACUGCGAAUACCGGAGAAUGUUAUCACGGGAGACACACGGCGGGUGCUAACGUCCGUCGUGAAGAGGGAAACAACCCAGACCGCCAGCUAAGGUCCCAAAGUCAUGGUUAAGUGGGAAACGAUGUGGGAAGGCCCAGACAGCCAGGAUGUUGGCUUAGAAGCAGCCAUCAUUUAAAGAAAGCGUAAUAGCUCACUGGUCGAGUCGGCCUGCGCGGAAGAUGUAACGGGGCUAAACCAUGCACCGAAGCUGCGGCAGCGACGCUUAUGCGUUGUUGGGUAGGGGAGCGUUCUGUAAGCCUGCGAAGGUGUGCUGUGAGGCAUGCUGGAGGUAUCAGAAGUGCGAAUGCUGACAUAAGUAACGAUAAAGCGGGUGAAAAGCCCGCUCGCCGGAAGACCAAGGGUUCCUGUCCAACGUUAAUCGGGGCAGGGUGAGUCGACCCCUAAGGCGAGGCCGAAAGGCGUAGUCGAUGGGAAACAGGUUAAUAUUCCUGUACUUGGUGUUACUGCGAAGGGGGGACGGAGAAGGCUAUGUUGGCCGGGCGACGGUUGUCCCGGUUUAAGCGUGUAGGCUGGUUUUCCAGGCAAAUCCGGAAAAUCAAGGCUGAGGCGUGAUGACGAGGCACUACGGUGCUGAAGCAACAAAUGCCCUGCUUCCAGGAAAAGCCUCUAAGCAUCAGGUAACAUCAAAUCGUACCCCAAACCGACACAGGUGGUCAGGUAGAGAAUACCAAGGCGCUUGAGAGAACUCGGGUGAAGGAACUAGGCAAAAUGGUGCCGUAACUUCGGGAGAAGGCACGCUGAUAUGUAGGUGAAGUCCCUCGCGGAUGGAGCUGAAAUCAGUCGAAGAUACCAGCUGGCUGCAACUGUUUAUUAAAAACACAGCACUGUGCAAACACGAAAGUGGACGUAUACGGUGUGACGCCUGCCCGGUGCCGGAAGGUUAAUUGAUGGGGUCAGCGCAAGCGAAGCUCUUGAUCGAAGCCCCGGUAAACGGCGGCCGUAACUAUAACGGUCCUAAGGUAGCGAAAUUCCUUGUCGGGUAAGUUCCGACCUGCACGAAUGGCGUAAUGAUGGCCAGGCUGUCUCCACCCGAGACUCAGUGAAAUUGAACUCGCUGUGAAGAUGCAGUGUACCCGCGGCAAGACGGAAAGACCCCGUGAACCUUUACUAUAGCUUGACACUGAACAUUGAGCCUUGAUG
rnacentral:rRNA from 1 species